AUUGAUUCUCAUUUGCACGUCUGGGCUUCCCCUGAAGAGGCUGCUGACAAAUACCCUUAUUUCCCAGGCCAAGAACCGUCAUUACCAGGAAGCGUUGAUUUCUUGCUUAAGUGCAUGGGAGAAGCAGGAGUAGAUGGUGCUCUAAUUGUCCAACCUAUCAAUCAUAAAUUUGAUCAUUCUCUAAUAACAAGGUCAGUAAACUCUAAACCCA